AACGAACGCUGGCGGCGUGCCUAACACAUGCAAGUCGAGCGCGAAAGGAGCAAUCCGAGUAGAGCGGCGCACGGGCGCGUAACACGUGGGUAAUCUGCCUCAGGGUUGAGGAUAACCUUCCGAAAGGUUGGCUAAUACUCGGUAAGCUUACGGUGACUUCGGUCGCUGUGAGAAAACUAGACCUCUAUUUAUAAGUUUAGGCCCAGAGAUGAGCCCGCGGCCCAUCAGCUAGUUGGCGGGGUAACGGCCCACCAAGGCAACGACGGGUAGCUGGUCUGAGAGGACGAUCAGCCACACUGGAACUGAGACACGGUCCAGACUCCUACGGGAGGCAGCAGUGGGGAAUUUUCCACAAUGGGCGAAAGCCUGAUGGAGCAACGCCGCGUGUGUGAUGAAGGUCUUCGGAUCGUAAAGCACUUUCGACCGGGACGAAAAACCUCUGGCUAACAUCCAGGGGCCUGACGGUACCGGGAGAAGAAGCACCGGCUAACUCUGUGCCAGCCGCCGCCGUAAUAC
rnacentral:rRNA from 1 species